UACGUAGGGUGCAAGCGUUAUUCGGAAUUACUGGGCGUAAAGCGUACGCAGGCGGCUUUGCAAGACAGGUGUGAAAUCCCCGGGCCUAACCUGGGAACUGCAUUUGUGACUGCAUGGCUAGAGUUUGUCAGAGGGGGGUGGAAUUCCACGUGUAGCAGUGAAAUGCGUAGAUAUGUGGAGGAACACCGCUGGCGAAGGCAGCCCCCUGGGAUGUGACUGACGCUCAUGUACGAAAGCGUGGGGAGCAAACAGG
rnacentral:rRNA from 1 species